rnacentral:rRNA from 1 species
CCUACGGGUGGCAGCAGUGAGGAAUAUUGGUCAAUGGACGGAAGUCUGAACCAGCCAUGCCGCGUGCAGGAAGACGGCUCUAUGAGUUGUAAACUGCUUUUGUACAAGAGUAAACCUGACUACGUGUAUUCAGCUGAAAGUACUGUACGAAUAAGGCUCGGCUAACUCCGUGCCAGCAGCCGCGGUAAUACGGAGGAUCCAAGCGUUAUCCGGAUUUAUUGGGUUUAAAGGGUGCGCAGGCGGUCUGUUAAGUCAGCGGUAAAAGCCCGGGGCUCAACCCCGGCCCGCCGUUGAAACUGGCAGUCUUGAGUUGGAGAGAAGUAUGCGGAAUGCGCGGUGUAGCGGUGAAAUGCAUAGAUAUCGCGCAGAACUCCGAUUGCGAAGGCAGCAUGCCGGCUCCACACUGACGCUGAGGCACGAAAGCGUGGGUAUCGAACAGGAUUAGAUACCCUAGUAGUC